CUGAGGCGUGAUGACGAGGCACUACGGUGCUGAAGCAACAAAUGCCCUGCUUCCAGGAAAAGCCUCUAAGCAUCAGGUAACAUCAAAUCGUACCCCAAACCGACACAGGUGGUCAGGUAGAGAAUACCAAGGCGCUUGAGAGAACUCGGGUGAAGGAACUAGGCAAAAUGGUGCCGUAACUUCGGGAGAAGGCACGCUGAUAUGUAGGUGAAGUCCCUCGCGGAUGGAGCUGAAAUCAGUCGAAGAUACCAGCUGGCUGCAACUGUUUAUUAAAAACACAGCACUGUGCAAACACGAAAGUGGACGUAUACGGUGUGACGCCUGCCCGGUGCCGGAAGGUUAAUUGAUGGGGUCAGCGCAAGCGAAGCUCUUGAUCGAAGCCCCGGUAAACGGCGGCCGUAACUAUAACGGUCCUAAGGUAGCGAAAUUCCUUGUCGGGUAAGUUCCGACCUGCACGAAUGGCGUAAUGAUGGCCAGGCUGUCUCCACCCGAGACUCAGUGAAAUUGAACUCGCUGUGAAGAUGCAGUGUACCCGCGGCAAGACGGAAAGACCCCGUGAACCUUUACUAUAGCUUGACACUGAACAUUGAGCCUUGAUGUGUAGGAUAGGUGGGAGGCUUUGAAGUGUGGACGCCAGUCUGCAUGGAGCCGACCUUGAAAUACCACCCUUUAAUGUUUGAUGUUCUAACGUGGACCCGUGAUCCGGGUUGCGGACAGUGUCUGGUGGGUAGUUUGACUGGGGCGGUCUCCUCCUAAAGAGUAACGGAGGAGCACGAAGGUUGGCUAAUCCUGGUCGGACAUCAGGAGGUUAGUGCAAUGGCAUAAGCCAGCUUGACUGCGAGCGUGACGGCGCGAGCAGGUGCGAAAGCAGGUCAUAGUGAUCCGGUGGUUCUGAAUGGAAGGGCCAUCGCUCAACGGAUAAAAGGUACUCCGGGGAUAACAGGCUGAUACCGCCCAAGAGUUCAUAUCGACGGCGGUGUUUGGCACCUCGAUGUCGGCUCAUCACAUCCUGGGGCUGAAGUAGGUCCCAAGGGUAUGGCUGUUCGCCAUUUAAAGUGGUACGCGAGCUGGGUUUAGAACGUCGUGAGACAGUUCGGUCCCUAUCUGCCGUGGGCGCUGGAGAACUGAGGGGGGCUGCUCCUAGUACGAGAGGACCGGAGUGGACGCAUCACUGGUGUUCGGGUUGUCAUGCCAAUGGCACUGCCCGGUAGCUAAAUGCGGAAGAGAUAAGUGCUGAAAGCAUCUAAGCACGAAACUUGCCCCGAGAUGAGUUCUCCCUGACCCUUUAAGGGUCCUGAAGGAACGUUGAAGACGACGACGUUGAUAGGCCGGGUGUGUAAGCGCAGCGAUGCGUUGAGCUAACCGGUACUAAUGAACCGUGAGGCUUAACCUUACAACGCCGAAGGUGUUU
rnacentral:rRNA from 1 species